UGCCCUUCCGAUUAAAUCGUCAGGCCGGUCCCACAUAGAAAGACGGGUGGUGGGAUUGUAAAAGAAGACCCGCUCAUCACCAGUCCAAACAACACACCUAGGAAUUGAUUCACAAUAUUAUUUUUCUAUGUUACAAAAAGGAAACAGGGAAGACAUUUUCCUACUUCUAAGAGUUUAGGUAACUAAUAUAAUAUGGCCUUUUUAACUGAAGAAAACUAACAGCCUAAGGU